GUGGGGAAUAUUGGACAAUGGGCGCAAGCCUGAUCCAGCCAUGCCGCGUGAGUGAUGAAGGCCCUAGGGUUGUAAAGCUCUUUCACCGAUGAAGAUAAUGACGGUAGUCGGAGAAGAAGCCCCGGCUAACUUCGUGCCAGCAGCCGCGGUAAUACGAAGGGGGCUAGCGUUGUUCGGAAUUACUGGGCGUAAAGCGCACGUAGGCGGAUAUUUAAGUCAGGGGUGAAAUCCCAGAGCUCAACUCUGGAACUGCCUUUGAUACUGGGUAUCUCGAGUAUGGAAGAGGUGAGUGGAAUGCCGAGUGUAGAGGUGAAAUUCGUAGAUAUUCGGAGGAACACCAGUGGCGAAGGCGGCUCACUGGUCCAUUACUGACGCUGAGGUGCGAAAGCGUGGGGAGCAAACAGGAUUAGAAACCCGGGUAGUCC
rnacentral:rRNA from 1 species